UACGUAGGGGGCAAGCGUUGUCCGGAUUCAUUGGGCGUAAAGCGCGUGUAGGCGGCCAUACAGGUCAGCUGUGAAAACUUGAGGCUCAACCUCGAGACGUCGGCUGAAACCGUUUGGCUAGAGUCCGGAAGAGGAGAGUGGAAUUCCUGGUGUAGCGGUGAAAUGCGCAGAUAUCAGGAAGAACACCCGUGGCGAAGGCGGCUCUCUGGUACGGUACUGACGCUGAGACGCGAAAGCGUGGGGAGCGAACAGGAUUAGAUACCCUGGUAGUCCACGCCGUAAACGAUGGGUGCUAGGUGUGGGGGGUGUCGACUCCCUCCGUGCCGAAGCUAACGCAUUAAGCACCCCGCCUGGGGAGUACGGCCGCAAGGCUA
rnacentral:rRNA from 1 species